rnacentral:rRNA from 1 species
AGUGAACGCUGGCGGUAGGCCUAACACAUGCAAGUCGAACGGCAGCACAGUAAGAGCUUGCUCUUACGGGUGGCGAGUGGCGGACGGGUGAGGAAUACAUCGGAAUCUACUUUUUCGUGGGGGAUAACGUAGGGAAACUUACGCUAAUACCGCAUACGACCUACGGGUGAAAGCAGGGGAUCUUCGGACCUUGCGCGAUUGAAUGAGCCGAUGUCGGAUUAGCUAGUUGGCGGGGUGAAGGCCCACCAAGGCGACGAUCCGUAGCUGGUCUGAGAGGAUGAUCAGCCACACUGGAACUGAGACACGGUCCAGACUCCUACGGGAGGCAGCAGUGGGGAAUAUUGGACAAUGGGCGCAAGCCUGAUCCAGCUAUACCGCGUGGGUGAAGAAGGCCUUCGGGUUGUAAAGCCCUUUUGUUGGGAAAGAAAAGCAGCAGGUUAAUACCCCGCUGUUCUGACGGUACCCAAAGAAUAAGCACCGGCUAACUUCGUG